rnacentral:rRNA from 1 species
UGAUGACGAGACGCUAAGGCGUUGAAGUAGUGUAUGUCAGGCUUCCAAGAAAAGCUCGCAAUGUCAUAGAUAAAAAAUGCCUGUACCAUAACCGACACAGGUGGGUAGGUAGAGUAUACUAAGGGGCGCGAGAUAACUCUCUCUAAGGAACUCGGCAAAAUGACUCCGUAACUUCGGGAGAAGGAGUGCCUUAUUUAUAAGGUUGCAAUAACAAGAUCCAAGCAACUGUUUAUCAAAAACACAGGUCUCCGCUAAGUCGUAAGACGAUGUAUGGGGGCUGACGCCUGCCCAGUGCCAGAAGGUUAAAGAAGUUGGUUAGUUUAAACGAAGCUGAUGACUGAAGCCCUGGUGAACGGCGGCCGUAACGAUAACGGUCCUAAGGUAGCGAAAUUCCUUGUCGGGUAAGUUCCGACCCGCACGAAAGGCGUAAUGAUUUGGAUACUGUCUCGGAGAGAGGCUCGGUGAAAUAGACUUGUCUGUGAAGAUGCGGACUACCUGCACCAGGACAGAAAGACCCUAUGAAGCUUUACUGUAACUUGAAAUUGGAAUUGGACUUUGCUUGCGCAGUAUAGGUGGGAAGCGUUGAAGAUACUCUUGCGGGAGUAUUGGAGCUAUCAGUGAGAUACCACUCUUGUAAUGUUAGAUUUCUAACUUUGGACCAUAAUCUGGUCAAAGAACAGUUUCAGGUGGGCAGUUUGACUGGGGCGGUCGCCUCCCAAAUGGUAACGGAGGCGUACAAAGGUUUCCUCUGAACGGAUAGAAAUCGUAUCUAGAGUGUAAAGGCAUAAGGAAGCUUGACUGUGAGACCUACAAGUCGAGCAGGGACGAAAGUCGGUCUUAGUGAUCUGACGGUACUGAGUGGAAAGGCCGUCACUCAACGGAUAAAAGUUACUCUAGGAUAACAGGCUGAUCUCCCCCAAGAGUUCACAUCGACGGGGAGGUUUGGCACCUCGAUGUCGGCUCAUCGCAUCCUGGGGCGGUAGUACGUCCCAAGGGUUGGGCUGUUCGCCCAUGAAAGCGGUACGCGAGCUGGGUUCAGAACGUCGUGAGACAGUUCGGUCCAUAUCCGGUGUAGGCGCUAGAAUAUUGAGAGGAGCCUUCUUUAGUACGAGAGGACCGAGAAGGACACACCGCUGGUGUACCAGUUAUCGUGCCAACGGUAAACGCUGGGUAGCUAUGUGUGGAGUGGAUAACCGCUGAAAGCAUCUAAGUGGGAAGCCCACCUCAAGAUGAGUAUUCUCAUCACUAUAAGUGAGUAAGGUCACGGUAAGACUAACCGUUCGAUAGGCAUUAAGUGUAAGUACAGUAAUGUAUGUGCUGAGAUGUCCUAACAGACCGAGGACUUGAAU